UACAUAUUAGUAUAUGAUGUACAGAAAUUUUUGGGAUUUUAAGGUUUAGUUUAACUCUAAAAUAUGUAU
rnacentral:tRNA from 1 species